rnacentral:rRNA from 1 species
GACGAACGCUGGCGGCGUGCUUAACACAUGCAAGUCGAACGGAAAGGCCCUGCUUUUGUGGGGUGCUCGAGUGGCGAACGGGUGAGUAACACGUGAGUAACCUGCCCUUGACUUUGGGAUAACUUCAGGAAACUGGGGCUAAUACCGGAUAGGAGCUCCUGCUGCAUGGUGGGGGUUGGAAAGUUUCGGCGGUUGGGGAUGGACUCGCGGCUUAUCAGCUUGUUGGUGGGGUAGUGGCUUACCAAGGCUUUGACGGGUAGCCGGCCUGAGAGGGUGACCGGCCACAUUGGGACUGAGAUACGGCCCAGACUCCAACGGGAGGCAGAAGUGGGGAAUAUUGCACAAUGGGCGGAAGCCUGAUGCAGCAACGCCGCGUGCGGGAUGACGGCCUUCGGGUUGUAAACCGCUUUCGCCUGUGACGAAGCGUGAGUGACGGUAAUGGGUAAAGAAGCACCGGCUAACUACGUG